rnacentral:lncRNA from 1 species
AGUCUUAGAAGAGAUAACCCAAUUAAAGCCUGCACAUGAUGUGUGACACAAUUUUGGCUUCCUCCUAACAGAGGAGUCCCGGACCACUGUAACCAAAAGGAUAUCUUUUUAGGAGUAUCAUCUGUAUCAAUCAUCAUCUAAAUCAUUAAUAACAAUUGAAACCACUCAAACCAAUAAAAGAAGAUAAUAUAAAACCUUUUC